AAAACAAUAAAUUAUUGAUGCAUAUGGCCGAAAAUGCUCACCCCUAUGUUUCUUAUAGCAGAAAACAGUAUCAACUAUCUGGAUAGCCACCAAGAGCAGACCAGUUUUAUAGUCAAUGAUGAAUUCGUACAGAUACGGCCACAUCUUUUUGAGCAGAGUCAGCGUCAUCCCUGAGACAUGAUGGUGAAGGUUGGAAAGAACAGGACUUAUUGGGUGUCUGCUUACCAGGGCUGCCUGCUACUCUGCAAGGUGGAGAUUGCUGCCAUCAAUGAC
rnacentral:lncRNA from 1 species